CAGGGUUUGAGGGACACCUGGGGCAUCUGUGGGUGCUACAAGGGUGCCAUGGGGUGGUGGAGCACCUUGGAAACCUGCUGGACCCACCAGGGACCGGCGGAAACCCAGGGGUGCUACGGGGUGCCCAUGGGGUGAUGGAGCACCUUGGGGACCUCCUGGACCCAUCAGAGGUUGAGAGACACCUGGGGCACCUGUGGGUGCUAUGGGGAGCCCAUGGGAUGGUGGAGCACCUAUGGGACCUCCUGGACCCACCAAGGACUGGGGGAAACCCAGGGGUGCUAUGGGGUGCCCAUGGGGUGGUGGAGCACCUUGGGGACCUCCUGGACCCCCCAGGGUUUGAGGGACACCUGGGGCAUCUGUGGGUGCUACAAGGGUGCCAUGGGGUGGUGGAGCACCUUGGAAACCUGCUGGACCCACCAGGGACCGGCGGAAACCCAGGGGUGCUAUGGGGUGCCCAUGGGGUGGUGGAGCACCUUGGGGACCUCCUGGACCCACCAGGGACCGGGGGAAACCCAGGGGUGCUACGGGGUGCCCAUGGGGUGAUGGAGCACCUUGGGGACCUCCUGGACCCAUCAGAGGUUGAGAGACACCUGGGGCACCUGUGGGUGCUAUGGGGAGCCCAUGGGAUGGUGGAGCACCUAUGGGACCUCCUGGACCCACCAGGGACCGGGGGAAACCCAGGGGUGCUACGGGGUGCCCAUGGGGUGAUGGAGCACCUUGGGGACCUCCUGGACCCAUCAGAAGUUGAGAGACACCUGGGGCACCUGUGGGUGCUAUGGGGAGCCCAUGGGAUGGUGGAGCACCUAUGGGACCUCCUGGACCCACCAGGGACCGGGGGAAACCCAGGGGUGCUAUGGGGUGGCCAUGGUGGGGGUCAUGGCACCCAUGGGACCUCCAGGUCCCACCCAGGAUCUAGGGGACACCGGGGGCACCCAUGGGGGCCGCGCGCACUCACGUUGGCCACGAAGACCUCGCUCUGCCCCGUCUCCAGCAUCUGCUCCAGCUCCUCCUCCGACUUCUCCUUUUCUGUAAGAUAAAUUAUUUUCCUAUGUUAACUUACAAAUUAAAUAAAAUCAGAUCAUAACAUCCAUAUUCACACCUCAUAAU
rnacentral:lncRNA from 1 species